CAGACACAUCAAAAUCUCCUUUUACUUUGGGUCCUUUCAAAUCCAGGUCAACAUCAGGUAUGGAGAUCUUGGGAGCUUUGAUAUUUAUUUCAGGCAUCUUGAACUUGGGGCCCUUUAGUUUCGCAUCUGGACCUUCGAUAUUCACAUCAGGAACAUCAACGUCCACUUUGGGUCCUGAGACAUCAAUGUCAGCCUUGGGCAGGUUCACAUCCACAUCUGGGCCCUCUCCUUUGAAGCCAGGCAUGCUGAACUUGGGCAUUUUCACCUUGGGCAUCUUCAGGUGCCAGUCUGGACCCUGAACAUUAACAUCUGGGACAUCAAUGUCCACUUUGGGGCCUUUGAGGUCAACUUCAGGACCUUUCAGAUCUCCCUCUACC
rnacentral:lncRNA from 1 species